UACGUAGGGUGCGAGCGUUAAUCGGAAUUACUGGGCGUAAAGCGUGCGCAGGCGGUUUUUUAAGCCAGAUGUGAAAUCCCCGGGCUUAACCUGGGAAUGGCAUUUGGGACUGCAAGGCUCGAGUGCGGCAGAGGAGACUGGAAUUCCUGGUGUAGCAGUGAAAUGCGUAGAUAUCGAGAGGAACACCAGAGGUGAAGACGGGUUGCUGGGCCGACACUGACGCUGACAGCGCGAAAGCCAGGGGAGCAAACGGG
rnacentral:rRNA from 1 species